AUUGAACGCUGGCGGCAGGCUUAACACAUGCAAGUCGAGCGGGGUGAUGGUGCUUGCACUAUCACUUAGCGGCGGACGGGUGAGUAAUGCUUAGGAAUCUGCCUAUUAGUGGGGGACAACAUCUCGAAAGGGAUGCUAAUACCGCAUACGUCCUACGGGAGAAAGCAGGGGAUCACUUGUGACCUUGCGCUAAUAGAUGAGCCUAAGUCGGAUUAGCUAGUUGGUGGGGUAAAGGCCUACCAAGGCGACGAUCUGUAGCGGGGCUGAGAGGAUGAUCCGCCACACUGGGACGGAGAAACGGCCCAGACUCCUACGGGAGGCAGCAGUGGGGAAUAUUGGACAAUGGGAGGAACCCUGAUCCAGCCAUGCCGCGUGUGUGAAGAAGGCCUUAUGGUUGUAAAGCACUUUAAGCGAGGAGGAGGCUCUUUUGGUUAAUACCCAAGAUGAGUGGACGUUACUCGCAGAAUAAGCACCGGCUAACUCUGUGCCAGCCGCCGCCGUAA
rnacentral:rRNA from 1 species